rnacentral:rRNA from 1 species
AUCUAUGGCCAUGCCACCCUGAACAAGCCCGAUCUCGUCAGAUCUUGGAAGCUAAGUAGGGUGGGGCCUGGUUAGCACUUGGAUGGGAGACCACCUAGGAAGACCAAGUGCUGUAAGUG